rnacentral:rRNA from 1 species
AGUACGAACGCAAGUUUGAAACUCAAAGGAAUUGACGGGGGCCCGCUCAAGCGGUGGAUUAUGUGGUUUAAUUCGAUGAUACGCGAGGAACCUUACCAAGGCUUAAAUGGGAAUUGAUCGGUUUAGAAAUAGACCUUCCUUCGGGCAAUUUUCAAGGUGCUGCAUGGUUGUCGUCAGCUCGUGCCGUGAGGUGUUAGGUUAAGUCCUGCAACGAGCGCAACCCCUGUCACUAGUUGCCAUCAUUCAGUUGGGGACUCUAGUGAGACUGCCUACGCAAGUAGAGAGGAAGGUGGGGAUGACGCCAAAUCAUCACGGCCCUUACGCCUUGGGCCACACACGUAAUACAAUGGCCGGUACAGAGGGCAGCUACACAGCGAUGUGAUGCAAAUCUCGAAAGCCGGUCUCAGUUCGGAUUGGAGUCUGCAACUCGACUCUAUGAAGCUGGAAUCGCUAGUAAUCGCGCAUCAGCCAUGGCGCGGUGAAUACGUUCCCGGGCCUUGUACACACCGCCCGUCAAGCCAUGGAAGUCUGGGGUACCUGAAGUCGGUGACCGUAAAAGGAGCUGCCUAGGGUAAAACAGGUAACUAGGGCUAAGUCGUAAC